rnacentral:lncRNA from 1 species
CCCUUGAAACCACGAUGGCUGGUUUGUUUGGCUCUUCCAAAAGAACAUACAGUACAAAACGUGCCACAUCAUUUUUACGGCACCAAAACUUAUACAAGAAACAAAACACGAUUCAGCUAAAAACCCUCAAUUUCUCUUUGUCAUUUGCAAGCGAUGGGUUUCUGGUGGAAUAACUGUUCUUUUCUUUUUUUUCCCCUCUGCUUCCCUCCCAAUUGCUGCUCAUCUCUGGGCUCUGAAGGAGAUUCAACAGCUCUGUUCUGGCAAUUAAAAUGUUUUAAAAUGAAAUCUCCACUCCAGGUUUUAAAUAUUUCAUGUGCUUUCCAUUCUAUGACUAAGAAUGUAUUGUGAUUUUUUUUUUUUUUUGUAUUUUCAGUUCUACAAAUGUUUCCUUUGCAUCUGGGAAGGAGUACGUCUCCCAUAUGGCUUCAGGAUACUUUGCAGUGUGCUUAGCUAAAGCAAUAUGGACCCCAACAGGGGGAGGAGAGCAGCCAUUUUCUCUUUACAUCCAAAGCUCUCUCACUUGUACCUUAGAAUUCCUUGUGGCAGGAGGACAAAGCACAAGAACUUAAACUACCAGAGUCCACCUCAUUCUCUGCUGUGUACUGCUGCUGAAGGAGUUUGCUUCUCCAGCCCUUCCAACACACGUGGAACCAGUUCCUUGUAUUACAUCCCCUCUGUCUGAAACACCACUGUGAUGUGCUGAAUGAAGACUUAAGGUGACUUGUGGAAGGAUUGUUGACUCUUGACAGCAUGCUGUUAUCUUGGCCCUAUUUUUAAUCUCCCUGAUCCCCAUUUGUACAAACUUGGAGGCAUAAUGAGCACACCUUAGCUGCAGCACGUGACUGUUACAAAAACAAAGCAAAACAUCAGCUAGGCAAGUAUUUUCCUCUGUUCUGAUUUCUGAAGUUGUCUAUUUAUUAUUAAAUAUUUUGUAUAAUUUUAUCUUGCUCCAAAAUGAAAAAGGAAAGUACAUUUGAUAGUUUAAAUUUUUCUGAAACAGCACAACCAAGUUGAACUAUUUCUCUUCUUUUAGGGUUUCAUGUAGCUCAGGCUGACCUCACACUUGUCAUGUAGUGGAAGCUGACCUUCAACCCCUGAUCUUCAUACCCACACUUCCUGAAUUCUGGGAUUAC